GACGAACCUGACGAACGUUAUUCGGAAUCACUGGGCUUAAAGGGUGCGUAGGCUGUGCAGAAAGUUGGGUGUGAAAUCCCUCGGCUUAACCGAGGAACGGCGCCCAAAACUACUGUGCUGGAGUGAGAUAGAGGUGAGCGGAACUUAGGGUGGAGCGGUGAAAUGCGUUGAUAUCCUAAGGAACACCGGUGGCGAAAGCGGCUCACUGGGUCUCAACUGACGCUGAGGCACGAAAGCUAGGGUAGCGAACGGG
rnacentral:rRNA from 1 species